rnacentral:rRNA from 1 species
CCUACGGGAGGCAGCAGUAAGGAAUAUUGGUCAAUGGACGCAAGUCUGAACCAGCCAUGCCGCGUGAAGGAUUAAGGUCCUCUGGAUUGUAAACUUCUUUUAUCUGGGACGAAAAAAGGCUUUUCUAAGUCACUUGACGGUACCAGAUGAAUAAGCACCGGCUAACUCCGUGCCAGCAGCCGCGGUAAUACGGAGGGUGCAAGCGUUAUCCGGAUUCACUGGGUUUAAAGGGUGCGUAGGCGGGCAGUUAAGUCAGUGGUGAAAUCCUUGAGCUCAACUCGAGAACUGCCAUUGAUACUAUCUGUCUUGAAUAUUGUGGAGGUAAGCGGAAUAUGUCAUGUAGCGGUGAAAUGCUUAGAUAUGACAUAGAACACCUAUUGCGAAGGCAGCUUACUACGCAUAUAUUGACGCUGAGGCACGAAAGCGUGGGGAUCAAACAGGAUUAGAUACCCUGGUAGUCCACGCCCUAAACGAUGAUUACUCGACAUUUGUGAUACACUAUAAGUGUCUGAGCGAAAGCAUUAAGUAAUCCACCUGGAAGUACGACCGCAAGGUUGAAACUUAAAUGAAUUGACGG